rnacentral:rRNA from 1 species
GACGUAGGGUGCAAGCGUUGUCCGGAAUCACUGGGCGUAAAGAGCUCGUAGGCUGGGUCUUGCGUCGUAGAGUAAAUAUAUCUGCUUAACGGAUAUCUCUUCUGCGAUACGGGGACUCUUGAGGACAGGAGAGGAAAGCGGAAUUCCGAGUGUAGCGGUGAAAUGCGUAGAUAUUCGGAGGAACACCGGUGGCGAAGGCGGCUUUCUGGCCUGAUUCUGACGCUGAGGAGCGAAAGCCAGGGUAGCGAACGGG